rnacentral:rRNA from 1 species
CCCUUAGAUGUUCUGGGCCGCACGCGCGCUACACUGAUGAACGCAACGAGACCACCUGUACCGAAAGGCAUGGGUAAACUUGUGAAAGUUCAUCGUGAUGGGGAUAGAUUAUUGCAAUUAUUAAUCUUCAACGAGGAAUUCCUAGUAAGCGCGAGUCAUCAGCUCGCGUUGAUUACGUCCCUGCCCUUUGUACACACCGCCCGUCGCUCCUACCGAUUGAAUGGUCCGGUGAAGCGUUCGGACCGUGGCCUUUGGACGGUUCGCCGUCUGUUGGCUGCGGGAAGUUCGUUAAACCUUAUCAUUUAGAGGAAGGAGAAGUCGUAACA